rnacentral:rRNA from 1 species
UCGGGAAUUUUGGGCAAUGGGCGAAAGCCUGACCCAGCAACGCCGCGUGAGGGAUGAAGUAUUUCGGUAUGUAAACCUCGAAAGAAUGGGAAGAAUAAAUGACGGUACCAUUUAUAAGCUCCGGCUAACUACGUGCCAGCAGCCGCGGUAAUACGUAGGGAGCAAGCGUUGUUCGGAUUUACUGGGCGUAAAGGGCGCGUAGGCGGCGCGGUAAGUCACUUGUGAAAUCUCUGAGCUUAACUCAGAACGGCCAAGUGAUACUGCUGUGCUAGAGUGCGGAAGAGNCAACCGGAAUUCUUGGUGUAGCGGUGAAAUGCGUAGAUAUCAAGAGGAACACCUGAGGCGAAGGCGGGUUGCUGGGCCGACACUGACGCUGAUGCGCGAAAGCCAGGGG